GGACGAACGCUGGCGGCGUGCUUAAUACAUGCAAGUCGAGCGAGCACUCGGUAGCGAGCGGCGCACGGGUGAGUAACGCGUAGAUGAUCUACCCUGAGACGGAGAUACCUCCGGGAAACUGGAGUUAAUACCCGAUAACGCACAUUAGUUGGUUCUAAUGUGUUAAAGCGGUGCAAGUCGCACUUGAGGAUGAGUCUGCGGCCUAUCAGCUAGUUGGUGGGGUAACGGCCUACCAAGGCGAAGACGGGUAGCUGAUCUGAGAGGAUGAUCAGCCACAUUGGGACUGAGACACGGCCCAAACUCCUACGGGAGGCAGCAGUAGGGAAUAUUGCGCAAUGGGGGGAACCCUGACGCAGCGACGCCGCGUGAGUGAUGACGGCCUUUUUGGUUGUAAAGCUCUGUAAAGAGGGAAAAAUGUUUAUGUGAAGAGCAUAAAUUGAUGGUACCUCUAAAGUAAGGACCGGCUAAAUACGUGCCAGCCGCAGC
rnacentral:rRNA from 1 species